rnacentral:rRNA from 1 species
AAAUUGAAGAGUUUGAUCAUGGCUCAGAUUGAACGCUGGCGGCAGGCCUAACACAUGCAAGUCGAGCGGUAGCACAGAGAGCUUGCUCUCGGGUGACGAGCGGCGGACGGGUGAGUAAUGUCUGGGAAACUGCCUGAUGGAGGGGGAUAACUACUGGAAACGGUAGCUAAUACCGCAUAAUGUCGCAAGACCAAAGUGGGGGACCUUCGGGCCUCAUGCCAUCAGAUGUGCCCAGAUGGGAUUAGCUAGUAGGUGAGGUAACGGCUCACCUAGGCGACGAUCCCUAGCUGGUCUGAGAGGAUGACCAGCCACACUGGAACUGAGACACGGUCCAGACUCCUACGGGAGGCAGCAGUGGGGAAUAUUGCACAAUGGGCGCAAGCCUGAUGCAGCCAUGCCGCGUGUGUGAAGAAGGCCUUCGGGUUGUAAAGCACUUUCAGCGGGGAGGAAGGCGAUAAGGU